rnacentral:rRNA from 1 species
AACUGCCGGUCAUAACGGAGAAGGUGGGAUGACGUCAAGUCAGCAUGGCCUUUAUAUCCUGGGCUACACACACGCUACAAUGGGAAGGGACAAUAGGUUGCGAAGCCGCGAGGCGGAGCCAAUCCAGCAAAACUUCCCUCAGUUCAGAUUGCAGGCUGCAACUCGCCUGCAUGAAGUUGGAGUUGCUAGUAAACGCAGGUCAGCCAUACUGCGUUGAAUACGUUCCCGGGGCUU